UACGUAGGCAGCAAGCGUUGUUCGGAGUUACUGGGCGUAAAGGGUGCGUAGGCGGUCCUAUAAGUAUGGUGUGAAAUCUCCCGGCUUAACUGGGAGGGUGCGCUAUAGACUGUGGGACUAGAGUGUGGGAGAGGAAAGUGGAAUUCCUGGUGUAGCGGUGAAAUGCGUAGAUAUCAGGAGGAACACCGGUGGUGUAAACGGCUUUCUGGACCAUAAACUGACGCUGGAGGCAACGAAAGCCGUGGGUAGCAAACAGG
rnacentral:rRNA from 1 species